rnacentral:piRNA from 1 species
UUGCUCAUACCAUGGACCUGAA